CCACCGCCCCUCUCGGAAGGGGCGGCUCCUCCUCCUCCUCCCGCGACCCAACCGACCUGCGCGCGCCUCAGGCCCCGCAGCCGAACGCCCAGCGGCGGAUCCGUCGCUUGUGUCUCCACCCGCAGUUGUGUAAGAAAGCCCAUAGCCCGCCAUGGAGCGUGCCUUUACCCCGCUGGAGCCCCUGCUACCCACGGGUACUGUGUCAUCCCCUUCCCGGAGGUGGUGCUGCUGCUGCCCGUGCUCCACCCCGGCCUCCCGUGUUCUCCCGCCUCGUGGGCAGGCCACCCAGCCUCCCACGCGGCCUCUGGUUCCCCUGUGUGGAAAGUGGACACUGAGUAUUAGUCUUCACCCCGUAGACCCUUUGUGAGGGCCCAGGGAGGAGGUGACAGAGUUUUGUGUCCUCCUGACCCGGUGUUCCAAGAGUUAACAAAAGCCUGAGAUGCCAAACACAUAACUCCCAGCAGCUCAACCUUCCACACUGCAGGGGGAAAAACAAAAUCAAAAAUCCAAAACAUGAGGGACAGGGAGAACUGCCUGCUGUCAGGGACGCAUUUCUAGUCACCUGAGAAAUAGCCUGAACUUAGUACAAGAGUAGCAAACGGUUAUCUAAAAGUCUGAAAGGUUUAACGCUAAGGAUUUCAAUUAUAAUUGUGUGUGCGCGUGCGAGUGCUGGGGAUCGAACCCGGAGCCUUGAGCCCGCUAGACCAAUACUUUCAUCAGUAAACUGAAUUCCCAACCUCAA